GUGGCUAAUCCCUUUUAUAAUAAGAAGACAAACGCCGGCUCUGGUUGUCGUCUGUGCUUUGAACAAUCAGAAAGUGGGAUCUCAUUUUUCCUGUGUUCAAUGACUUUCAGAAAAGCUCCCAGAUAACUCCACUUAAGCUUAGCAUCUGAGAUCCAGAUGGAAUUUCACAUCAGAGACCCCAGAGACAAAGGAUAGAUGUUCUGCCCCUGCCUUUGUAAAAUAAAAGAAGACUUAAACCUAUUUAGGUCCUGGUGUAGACAAGAAUGUAGACAAAUCUCCAGGUCCCCAGAGAUCACAAACGUCCCAGGAGAGCACCAUGCACACAAGGCAGCUCCAAAUACAGAGGAAGAAAACAGACAAGACACUUGGCCACCUUUGUAAAAGUGGUGGCCAACCAAAGACAGCACUCUUUGCUUCCAGUCUGCCAGUGGAAUGGAGGGCCAGGAACACCUGUUAGAGCUGCAGUUUCACUUCUCUAGGCACUGUUAAACCAUGGGUGCUUGUACAUCAUGAACCCAUUAACUCUCUGUUAUCUCCUUAUAUGCAGUUGUGCUUGUGGGUUCUGUGUUGUGCUGGGCAGUGCUUCAGAGCUGUUUCAUUCAGCUACUUUUGCCCUGCCAAUGAAAAGAAAUAGAGCCAUUUUCCUGUAGUUCAGUUCAUUCAGAGGCAUUAUUCCAAUUCAGCAAAGAGCUGAAAAUGAGUGUGAAGAGUGAAAACGUGUAAGUUAUCUGUACUGACAAAAUCUGAAGUAGUCUAAUUUUUUUCCCCAAGCAGAAAAAUCCUAUAUCAGAUAUAUUAACCCAAAACUGAAUAAAGCUGAAUAAAAUUAAAAACUUGAUUUAAAAUUGCUAGGGUGCAUCUGUGAAAAAAAACAUGUGGAUUUUUGUAGUAAAUACUUAUUUUUAAUUUUGACAUAGAACAGAUCUCAACAUAAUGUAGUAAAGAGGAUAUUCUCAUCAAAAUUUAAGAAUUCCAAUCUUUUCAGUUUCUUAGUUGCUUAGCAGAGCAACUUUGAGUUCAAAGCUCUCUUUCAGAUUGGUCAAAAUAUGAAGAUUAUCCAAUCUCUUGGUAACCCCUUCAUCUCUCUUCUCACAGCUGAAUUUGGUUUCUUUCCCUCCUACUUCCACAGAAGACUGUACUUCUCACCAAAGACUGUAGUUAAUGUUGUUUACAGCAGAAACAAUGAAAAGUUAGAAAGACUAUUUUUAUUAUGUGUAUUCUUUUUUCACUCUAUCACUGCCACCUGAUCUGCAGACUGAGGCAAAUCCCUUGUGCUCCAUAGCUUUAUUCUGUAAGAAAAUACAAGUAGAAAAGUAUGCUCUAUUUUCUGGUGGAUAUUGUGUUGCCGCAUACUGAGUGUUUUUAUCUUGAGAUGUAUAAAUCCACUCUGAGAGUUAAGACAAAUGAUACAAAGCCAAAAAGCUCUAUUAGGCCUCAUAAUUAAUGUACAAGGAUGUGGACAGAUAUUUGAAACAAUCAAAUGAAAGGAUUUCAUCUUCCAGUUAAAGGCAGUUGUGAAAAUUCAUGUCUAGAAGGCUGUUGACAGAAUAGUGUUAAUGGCUGUUGGUGAACCAGAAAAAGAAAGCGUGUGCAAUCCAGGCAGGGAGCCUUGUAGAAGCAAAAUCCUAGACAGAUGGCAAAAAUUCAGUCCUGGAGCUUGAAGGAAGAUGGAAGAUUUUUUUGUUUGUUUGUUUGGUGUUUUUGUUUGUUUGUUUGUUUGUUUGUUGG